UCCAGUCUGCUCACUGAUAAUUUAAAGAGCCGCAGUAUAUUGACUGUGCAAAGGUAGCAUAAUCAAUAGUUUUUUAAUUGAGAACUUGUAUGAAAGAUUAGACGAGAAAUUUAUUUUCUUUAUUUUAAAUAAUUGAAUUUUAAUUUUAAGUGAAAAUGCUUAAUUAAAUUUAAAAGACGAGAAGACCCUAUAGAUUUUUAUUAUUAAAAUAAACUUAAUAAAAAGUUUAAAACAAUAAUUUCAUUGGGGUGAUUUUGUAAUAAAUAAAACUUAAUUUUUAAAAACCAAAAAUAAUUGAAAUUUUUGAUCUAAAAUUUUUAAAGAAAAGAUUAAAUUACCUUAGGGAUAACAGCGUAAUUUUUUUUAAGAGUUCAUAUCUAUAAAAAAGUUUGCGACCUCGAUGUUGAAUUAAGAUAAUAUGUUGAAGUAG
rnacentral:rRNA from 1 species